rnacentral:rRNA from 1 species
UACGAAGGGGCGAGCGUUGUUCGGAAUUACUGGGCGUAAAGGGCGCGCAGGCGGCCCGUUGAAGUCAGGCGUGAAAGCCCCGGGCUCAACCUGGGAGGUGCGCUUGAUACUCGAGGGCUUGAGUGCGGGAGAGGAGAGUGGAAUUCCCAGUGUAGAGGUGAAAUUCGUAGAUAUUGGGAAGAACACCGGUGGCGAAGGCGGCUCUCUGGACCGUAACUGACGCUGAGGCGCGAAAGCGUGGGGAGCAACAGG